rnacentral:rRNA from 1 species
UACGGGGGGGGCAAGCGUUGUUCGGAAUUACUGGGCGUAAAGCGCGCGUAGGCGGCUUUUCAAGUCGGGCGUGAAAGCCCCGGGCUUAACCCGGGAAUGGCGCUCGAUACUGUUGAGCUAGAGUGUGGAAGGGGCUACUGGAAUUCCGUGUGUAGCGGUGAAAUGCGCAGAUAUCGGGAGGAACACCAAUGGCGAAGGCAGCUUGCUGGGACGGUACUGACGCUGAGACGCGAAAGCGUGGGGAGCAAACAGG